rnacentral:rRNA from 1 species
GACGAACGCUGGCGGCGUGCUUAACACAUGCAAGUCGAACGGAAAGGCCCUGCUUUUUUGGGCUGCUCGAGUGGCGAACGGGUGAGUAACACGUGAGUAACCUGCCCCUGCCUUUGGGAUAACCUCAUGAAACAGGGGCUAAUACCGCAUAGGAGCUCUUGCUGUAUGGUGGGCGUUGGUAAGAUUCGGCUGUUGGGGAUGGACUCGCGGCUUAUCAGCUCGAUUGUGAGGUAGUGGCUUACCAAGGCUUGGACGGGUAGCCGGCCUGGGAGGAUGACCGGCCACAUUGGGACUGGGAUGCGGCACAGACUCGUACGGGAGGCAGCGGUGGAGAAUAUUAUACAGUGAGCGGAAGCAUGAUGCAACAACGCCGCGUGCGGGAUGACGGCCUUCGGGUUGUGAACCGCUUUCGCCUGUGACGAAGCGUGAGUGACGGUAAUGGGUGAAGAAGCACCGGCUAACUACGUG